GAAAUCAAUUAUACACAUAUGGGCUUGCAGGUUAAACUCACGGAUGUGUAUACCUCCCCGCAGUGAGGACAGCAUGGACAGCCACGACCAAACCGGCGGUGGGCCCAGGCGACAGCAGCGAUGUCAUGACGGCCACUUGGCGACUGGCUCCUAAAGGGAAGGUGCCAUUGACUGACACAUCCGGACUCGGAGCCGCUGAGCUGAGCCCGCGGUGAACGCAUGUCUGACCUCUGCCUUCGGGAGGGGACGCCGGGCACGGCUCACACAACCCAUCACCCUCCAGAGCGCGGUGCGCCUUUCCUGCCCUCCUACUCCGUCCCGGGCCCUUCCCCACCCGCUCCGGGCUCGGCUCCGUCUCCAAUGACUGACUGUACUGAACGCCAUGGCCGGUCUUAGACGCGCUGGGACCUGAACGAAGCCAUCAGACUCUCCACUGAUCACUCCAUUCACUCCUCAACCUAUUGUAAAACUUUAGCUCAAAUGGGCCGAGGAAAUAGAGUGCGCGCGCACAUGUGUGUGUGUGUGCAUGUAUGUGUGCGUGUGUGUGUGCGUGUGUGUGUGUGCGUGUGUGUGUGUGUGUGUGAGCAGAAGAGGAAGAGACCCCAAAAGCCUUAAAAUGGAGUGAAAGUUGGAGUCGGCAUCUAAACGAGGUUUGCUUCCCGGGCGACGCUGUUUGAAAGCUCAAAGCUCAAUCUGUCAAAAAUAGAUUUCUCUCCCUUUCCAAGUGUGGCAAACAGAGCCACACGCCUCGCCCAGACUCCUGCCUCUCACCCCAGAGGGUUUCUUUGGAGGAACCAACAAUCCCUUGGACGGGAACCCUGGACGGGCCGGCAUCAUUUUGGGAUUUGGGCGGUUGCCGGUGCCUGGCAGCCCCGGUAGAGUGACAGUCAGCGGCUGGACGGAACGCGAGAAAGCUGAUCCCGUCGCUGGCUCAGGCUCUUCGUGGACAAGAGACAAGAACCAUUCCCCAUCCCCCGAGGGUAUCAGCACGCAGGCGCGGCGGGGGGCUGCUCUGCAGAGCAGGGGCUGCUCCACUGGGCAUGCGCGUGGGUGGGCCUCCGUGACCGCAGCCGAGCUGCAGCCCCACUGCGUGUCAGAGCCGUGCAGCCCCGCGUGGCCUUUAUGCUCAGCCUCGUGUCUUCAGCCCGCAUCCCGGAUGGACCAUCUGUUCAGACGCCGGGAUUCAUGUGCACAAUGCAGUCAGUUGCCCGGUGACAUCUUCACUUUAUCUUAUAAAA